GAGCACUGUGUUUAUCCAGAAUGAGUACAUGAUGAAAGAAAACAAGACCAGACUGAUGGAAUUGUUUGUCAGCUCUUGCUUGGAUUCCGUGAACCAUCUUAGCAUCAUUCUACACAUAAUCAGAGUUAAGAUUUUUGGGAGCAAAGACAAAAUAACGUGAAGAGAGACUGUGAGACACUGACUUUGCUCUGCCUACCAGGAUGUGGAGGUUAAGAUUUAAAGUAAACAAUUCUUUGCUUUGGGUAAUUGCAAACUUCAACAACAUGACUAACCAUGAUUUUGGUUUUGCUCUUGUUUUUGUUUUUUUAAUUCCAAAUUCCAAA